ACUCCUACGGGAGGCAGCAGUGGGGAAUCUUAGACAAUGGGCGCAAGCCUGAUCUAGCCAUGCCGCGUGAGUGAUGAAGGCCUUAGGGUCGUAAAGCUCUUUCGCCAGGGAUGAUAAUGACAGUACCUGGUAAACGAAACCCCGGCUAACUCCGUGCCAGCAGCCGCGGUAAUACGGAGGGGUUAGCGUUGUUCGGAAUUACUGGGCGUAAAGCGCGCGUAGGCGGAUUAGUCAGUUAGAGGUGAAAUCCCAGGGCUCAACCCUGGAACUGCCUUUAAUACUGCUAGUCUUGAGUUCGAGAGAGGUGAGUGGAAUUCCGAGUGUAGAGUGAAAUUCGUAGAUAUUCGGAGGAACACCAGUGGCGAAGGCGGCUCACUGGCUCGAUACUGACGCUGAGGUGCGAAAGUGUGGGAGCAAACAGGAUUAGAUACCCUGGUAGCGACUGA
rnacentral:rRNA from 1 species